rnacentral:lncRNA from 1 species
AAAAAACAGAUUUUUCUGGAUUCAUUCAGUUUUCUGAUGUUUUCAGAUUCUUCCAAACUGAAGGAUCUUCUUUAAUCUGAUCCUUCUGUUAAACUUUUGAUCUGCUUCAUUGAAUGUUUGUGUGCACUGACCGGCGCGUCCGAGGCGUCAUCAGCCACGUGGAGGCCGAAGUAGUCUCUCUCCGUCAGCUCCAAGUGCUUAAAGACGGCGUCCAGCAGCAUCUGACCGUGAUCCGACUUCUGCAGAGACACCAGAGCGGUUCACCGUCGGACCGUUGGUUCGGUUCUCGCACAGCGUCAGUCGUUCUGACGGCUCAGCAGCUUCCUGUUUGUUCACCCAGAAACGACCAUGAUGAAGAUGAAGAUGAAGAAGAACAUCUCACUUCCUGUCUGGACAGGCUGUGCAUUCCUGACUUCAGCCUCAGCUUUGCAGCGGUUGCCAUGGUUACCCUUGCAAAGCAUCCCGGUCAGAGUGAAGGAUGAAAAGCCUCACAGACGUCCUCCCGCUAUCAACGCGCACGCGUCGCAGGGAGGAUUUCCCGUCAGUCGGAGAGCUCCGCCUCCUCGGUUGCCAUGGCAGCAGCUGCUCCCGGACCUUCCAGACUCACAGCCGGGAGGAGGAUCAAUGGAGGACUUGUUGCUCUAGUCUUUUCAGGACUGCGGUCAAUGAGGCCGGGUCAUUCAUCCGCACAGGUGUGGAGGUCAGCUGCGUCUGAAGCGGCGCCGCGGCGCCAAAACGCCGACUCGAACCGUCAUCUUCUGUCAUGAAGAGGGAAGUCCUCCCUGAGAAAGUUAUGCUGCGAACCGAACCUCUCCAGGUUCUGCGGUUACAGGCGUCCAGUCCACCAGGUGUCUGUAAAGUUCUGGUUCCUCUCCAGAACCGUCCUGCGGGCGAGCGAGGAGGAUCGCCUCAUGUCAGGACGCACCUGAGCUCCUUCUGUACGUUUCCUUCAUCUUCAGGCAGACGUUUGUGGAGGAGAGCCUCUGAUUGAGAUGGUCCACCAGAACUUCAGUCUCUUUAACAAACUGUUGUUCUGAUCAGUUCUUUGUCAUUAUAAAGUUGAAGUUUCUGAAGCUUUUGGCUGAAGAUGGUGAUGCAAAAUGCUUUAAUUGCUAAAGAGAUUUACUGAAAAUGCAAAAGCUAUUCGCUAAAAAACGGGAAAUUUCAUUAAAGAACUAUGAAAGAGGGCUGAAGUCGACCUCAAUUUCUGAAAAAUGUGUUGUAAAAUUGCUUAAAAAUCUCUAAUACAUGCCAAGUUCCCAAAAAUUAAAGUGUAACGGAUCACAACACUCACGGUUCAGAGCGUGUCACGGUUUUAGGGUCACGUUUGGAUCAUUUUUCAGAUCAGGAAAAAGUAAAAAAAAAUUUUUUAAAAAAGGUGACAACAAACAAUGAUAUAAAAGCUAAAAUUCAUUUGGGAAAUACUUCAAAUCAUAUAUUGAAUAAUAAUAUUACGUAUUUCACUCACACAAUACAUU